rnacentral:lncRNA from 1 species
UCUGUGCUGAGUGUUGUGGAUUUUUUGCAUGUCCAUCCUUCCAGCAGACAACUGGAGAUGUAUUGUCCCCAGAGGGUACAAUAGAGAAUCUUCCGUCACAAGUCAGCAACCAGCAUAUGUGAGUGACAGCAUGUGUCCCACUCAGAAAUGAGAGUGUAUUAGUCCGUUUUCAUGCUGCUGACAAAUACAUAACAUAGUCCGGGACGAAAAAGAGGUUUAAUUGGACUUACAUUUCCAUAUGACUGGGGAGGCCUCAGAAUCAUGGCGGGAGGGAAAAGGCACUUCUUACAAGGCAGCAGCAAGAGAAAAUGAGCAAGAAGCCAAAGCAGAAACCCGUGAUAAACCCAGCAGAUAGUGAGACUUAUUCACCAUCAGGAGAAUAGCACAGGAAAGACCCACCCCCCUGAUUCAAUUACCUCCUCCUAGGUCCCUCCCACAACACAUGGGAAUUCUGGGAGAUACAAUUCAAGUUGAGAUUUGGGUGAGGGCAUGGCCAAACCAUGUCAGAAAGGGAUGAAGUGACAGCAUAUCUUGAUGUGUGUGAUGGUUUUAUGAGUUAUUACCUAUUUCAAAAAUUAUUGCAAUGUGUAAAAAAGAACAAGGACUUGUACUAUCUGACUUUAAGGCUUACUAUAAGCUAUUACAGACAAGACAUCAGGAGUGACAAGUAGAUAAACAGACUGAGUUCAGAGACUUGAAACUGAUCCACAGCUAUACAGUCAAUAAAUGGGUUUUCAAUAAAAGCAGUUCAGUAAAAGAAAAUAAAUCAUUUCAAUUAAUGGACUUUUAUAUGGAUGUGGGAAGACCAACAAUGUUAUUCUCUCACAAUGUUAUUCUCUCUCACACUACACACAAAAGUAAUUUCAGGUGCAUUACACACCAAAACUUAAAAGUUAAAGAUAUAAAGCAUUUCAAGGAUACUUUGUGACUUGUUGGUAGGCAAAGAUUAGCCUACCAAUAAGCAGGACACAANNNNNNNNNNGCGAUAGAGUAAGACUCCUCUUAAAAACACCACCAUCAACAACAACAAAAAAAAAACACACAAACAAAAACACAUCUGACUCUUGAAACAAAAGUAAUAGAGAUGGAUUGUAAGGUUUAUAACAGGUGUAAAGGAAAAUGCAUGACAAUAGCAUAAAGGCAGGGAGAGGAGUCAGGUGAAAUGGUAUGACGCCACUUGAAGGCAGACCUCCAGAGGAGUUUUAUGGAGAGUCAAUUGAUGCUGAGGAGGUGGUAGAGACCUAGCAAACUCAUCUGCAGUGGCUUUGAGCAAGGCUCUUAGAAUCAUAAGCUGGGUGGGGUCCUGUGUCCUACACCACAGGCCAGCUAGUUCAUUUCAGGAGACUUUUU